AUUGAACGCUGGCGGCAUGCCUUACACAUGCAAGUCGAACGGCAGCACGGGAGCUUGCUCCUGGUGGCGAGUGGCGAACGGGUGAGUAAUACAUCGGAACGUACCCUGAAGUGGGGGAUAACGUAGCGAAAGUUACGCUAAUACCGCAUAUUCUGUGAGCAGGAAAGAGGGGGAUCGCAAGACCUCUUGCUUUAGGAGCGGCCGAUGUCGGAUUAGCUAGUUGGUGAGGUAAAGGCUCACCAAGGCGACGAUCCGUAGCGGGUCUGAGAGGAUGAUCCGCCACACUGGGACUGAGACACGGCCCAGACUCCUACGGGAGGCAGCAGUGGGGAAUUUUGGACAAUGGGCGCAAGCCUGAUCCAGCCAUGCCGCGUGAGUGAAGAAGGCCUCGGGUUGUAA
rnacentral:rRNA from 1 species